GGGGAAUAUUGCACAAUGGGCGCAAGCCUGAUGCAGCGACGCCGCGUGAGGGAUGACGGCCUUCGGGUUGUAAACCUCUUUCGCCAGGGACGAAGCGCAAGUGACGGUACCUGGAUAAGAAGCACCGGCUAACUACGUGCCAGCAGCCGCGGUAAUACGUAGGGUGCGAGCGUUGUCCGGAUUUAUUGGGCGUAAAGGGCGCGCAGGCGGUUCGGCACGUCCGUUGUGAAAUCGCCCGGCUCAACUGGGCGGGGUCAGCGGAUACGGUCGAACUUGAGCAAGCUAGGGGGCAAUGGAAUUCCCGGUGUAGUGGUGGAAUGCGUAGAUAUCGGGAGGAACACCAGUGGCGAAGGCGGUUGCCUGGAGCUUUGCUGACGCUGAGGCGCGAAAGCGUGGGGAGCGAUC
rnacentral:rRNA from 1 species